UCACACAGCCAUCAAUCAUGAUGUCACAUCCUCCUUUUUAUAACUUUAAAUAACCAAUUAAACCCAAACUGAUUGACCCAAGUUCACAAAAAGAGUCUUUGGGAAAAAUUUCUGUUCUUUGAGUUUUCAGUUUGGCUCCCAUCCGCUAACAUGGAGGGGGCGGGGUUUAUGACCUGUGCUGCAGCCAGCCACCAGGGGGAGAUUCAGAUGUUUUGGCUUCAAUUUUAGGGAACUAUCAUGUUGUCCAUCUUUAUACACAGUCUGUGGUUUGCGCAAGGAGCUUUUUUUGAACCAUAUUUACCGCUAUUGUUAGGUGGCGACUUCUAGUGGCCGUAGUCAUUAUGAUGGGAGAUAAGACAGGAAGUCAGCUGAUGCCGUAUAAAGAGCGACAAAGUGUGUGUAGACAGGAAGUGGAUGAAACACAUGACUUUGACCUAGGAGGUCACUGUGUCCCGUCUGAAACCAAAAGUCAGCGUUUUUUAACCGACGUACGUAAGUUAACCUACGUCAGGUACACACAGGGCUGAGCAGUGUUUACAACAUUAAGAUACCAGAACUCUUAAAGUGAUACUCAACCAAUAAAGAACGUCAUUUGAUACCUUUUUCUACGUCAUUUCGAUAAUUAUGUGAAUGGAAGCUUUAAGUUGCCUAAAUCGUCACCAAAGUUUCUAAUGCUUCGGUGGCGUGUCGGCACACUGACCACCGCGCUCGUCUUCAUCGCACCAGACUGUUUGGGUUUUGUGGGCCAAUGACACGUCACAUUAAAUCAAAGAACGCAGUGAUUGGCUUCGAGCAAAACCAUAAAGGAUCAAAUGCAGGUAUGAUUUGACUUAAGGAGAUUUGAUCCUACCUGGUACUGAGUUAUUUCAGUCGAUAAGAGUUCAGAUACUCAGCCCUACGUACGGAACAUACUUUGAGCUCCAGUGUGUCGGAUUUAAAUCUAAUCUAAUGGUUGUGUUCUCGUUACCUCAGAAUGAGACGAACUCUGUAGAUGAGGACCUGCUCCCUAUGUAGACAUAAACAUCUCAUUCUGAGGGAACGAGAACACAACAUGAGAUCAGGUUUGGAUUGGACACACUGGAGCUUUAAGUUCUGUCAUUAAGGUGUGAGGAAGUGUCGAUCUGUAAUUUCAGAAACGCUCCUGUGGGUGGUGUUAAAGAGGAGGAACAAACCACCUGUGAGGUCGGACAUGUUGGAGGACCUUUAGUUUUCAGACAGAGCAGAAAAUAUUGGAGCAGGUUAGAAUGAUGUCAGGUGUGUUUAAGAAGCAUCUCCGAGCUUUUGACAUUAAAGGCCUUCGCACAUUGAGUCUGUUUUGUCGCAUGUCCAUAAAUAAGUACGACCUCACAUUGUGUCAUGUUCACACUCUGAGCCCAGCAGUUUCACCCGUCAUUAAACAUCGUGGAACAGCUUCAGUUUCCUGCGUUUUUCGCUUCCGUCAGAGUCUUUAGAGACGUCUGACCUCUAAUCAGUGAAGACAAUGUCAGAUAGUGACAUUCAGGAUGAUGAUGAUGACGAGGAGGAGGAUGUGGACCACACAUAGCUCCGCCCCUUCAUGCAGCUGUGGUGACAAAUGAAAGAUGGGGAGGAAGUGAUGUCAGAUAGGUAACUCCAGUAACGAGAGAGAGGAAAUGUGUCUUUUCAUUUUGUCACGUGUUGUGAAUUUUCACACCAGAAGAAUAAAACACAUCUCAAUCUGUGUGUAACAA